ACGGACGGACAGACGGACAAGCUGAAAAAAGGGGGAACGAGGAGAACGCCGCCCGCCGCGCUUGCGCCGAGAUCAGAGCGCCCUCGCCGAGGGGGGGCGACGGGUUCGACUCCGCUUCGCUGUGCCAGGCUUCGCUUGACAGGUGGACGGAAGAGCAGGGAGCCGGUUUUUCGCCACGGACGAAUUUCCAUUUCCCUCCGCCAUUUCUCCGCGCUCGGGGUGCCAAUGCCUUCAACAGAACGCCGAAACCCAUUAGUCAAAUUUCCAGUCGGCGGCAGAUAGGACGCCGGGCUUGCGUACGAAAGGCCUGCUGCAUUCUGGGAAGGGUGGACGGAACUCCGGGCGCUGCCGCCGCCACCGGCCUGACCGUACGGAACGAGGACGGCUCUUUAAUAUCGAAAGCGCGACGGAGGAAGAGGAGGGCGGCGCGGAGGAGGAGGAGGAGGAGGAGGCAGGCUUUGAUGCUGCCCCCGCCGCGCCGCUCCGGUUCAGAGUUGGCCGAAUUUAAUUUUCAGACGCCGACCUCCCGCGCCGCGGACCUUUAUUGAAAUCCCAGCGGUGCCCCCCCCCCCCGCCGACCGGGGUUAACCAACCGCGCGCGAGAGAAAAGAAGACGAGAUAAAACGCCAAGCUCAGAAAUAAGACGUCGCCCCUUCAAGAUAAAAAUAAGAUGGUAGGUUGAGUGUGAGAGGAAGAGAGAGGGAAAAAAAAAACUUUUUGACUUUCUGGGGAGUUAUAAUUUAUUAUAAUAAGAAAAGGCCUGGCGGAGGGUCCAAUUGUCGCAAGUAUAAUCUGAAUAUCUGAAGUAGGUCAUUGCAUUGAACGAGGAACAGCUUAGAGGUGCGUUAGUGACUUAGGCACGUGUAUAUUAAUAAUGCAUGCAUUAAU